rnacentral:piRNA from 1 species
UUGCCUCCUUUUGACAUGAUAUGGUGAGAU